GUGCCAGCAGCCGCGGUAAUACGGAGGGUGCAAGCGUUGUUCGGAAUUACUGGGCGUAAAGCGCGCGUAGGCGGUUUGUUAAGUCAGAUGUGAAAGUCCACGGCUCAACCGUGGAAGUGCAUUUGAAACUGGCAGACUUGAGUACUGGAGGGGGUGGUGGAAUUCCCGGUGUAGAGGUGAAAUUCGUAGAUAUCGGGAGGAAUACCGGUGGCGAAGGCGACCACCUGGCCAGAUACUGACGCUGAGGUGCGAAAGCGUGGGGAGCAAACAGGAUUAGAAACCCUAGUAGUCC
rnacentral:rRNA from 1 species